CGCAGACCCGGGAUGUGCAUUUCCUGGAAUUCCUGGCCGGCCCUGUGGACAAGCCCGAGAUCCCCCGGCCGGCCGUGGCCUGCCCGAAAUCGCAGGUCCCGGGACGCAGGGUUGGAGCCACCUGUGGGCUCAGGCUCCAGGCGCCUAGCCGGCUCUGCCUCCCGCCUGGGCCCUCGAGCAGCAUUCAAGCUACCGCCUGGGCGUCUGCAGCGUGCCGGGGCCGAGCUGGAAGCGGGGAACGGUGGUUUGCUCCCGGGGCAGCAGAUAAACCAGCACCAUCCAUUUGAUAUGAUAUGA
rnacentral:lncRNA from 1 species